AACGCGAAGAACCUUACCUGGGCUUGAACCGCACAGGACCAGCUCCAGAAGUGGGGCCUUCCCGCAAGGGACCUGUGUAGAGGUGCUGCAUGGCUGUCGUCAGCUCGUGCCGUGAGGUGUUGGGUUAAGUCCCGCAACGAGCGCAACCCUUACUCAUAGUUGCUACCCGCAAGGGAGAACUCUAUGAGGACUGCUCCGGAUAACGGAGAGGAAGGUGGGGAUGAGGUCAAGUCAGCAUGGCCUUUAUGUCCAGGGCUACACACGUGUUACAAUGCGCGCCACAAAGCGUUGCAAACCCGCGAGGGGGAGCUAAUCGCAAAAAAGCGCGCUCAGUUCGGAUUGCAGUCUGCAACUCGACUGCAUGAAGUUGGAAUUGCUAGUAAUGACGUAUCAGCAACGACGUCGUGAAUACGUUCCCGGGCCUUGUACACACCGACAUA
rnacentral:rRNA from 1 species